GGGUCAGUAGGUUGGCCGUGCCAACGGUACGUACUGGUCUCACUGAUUCCUCCUUCCUGAAGAACCGUAAUGCCAUUAAUUUGGUGUUGCGGGGAAACAGGACUGUUACUUUGAAAAAAUUAGAGUGUUUAAAGCAAGCUAACGCUUGAAUACAUUAGCAUGGAAUAAUGAAAUAGGACGAUCGAUCCUAUUUUGUUGGUUUCUAGGAUUGACGUA
rnacentral:rRNA from 1 species